rnacentral:misc_RNA from 1 species
UUUCCGUAGGUGAACCUGCGGAAGGAUCAUUAUUGGAUUUUGAAACUUCAGGCUGCUGCUGGCUCUCCUCGGAGGGCAUGUGCACGCUUGUUGUCCAUUAUUUCACCCACUGUGCACAAAUUGUAGACCUUUCAGUAGGCCUAUGUUGUUUUUCACAAUCUCUGAAUGUAAUAGAAUGGUUUUGAAUCUUGGGAAAUACAAUACAACUUUCAGCAACGGAUCUCUUGGCUCUC